GCUUGUAGAAAACGCAUUACCUCAUCCUUUUCCCCUCGCGCAGGUAUAGACAUACAACAACAAAUAAUGUUACAGUCGCAGACAGGACGAGGACGAGAGUAGAAGUCGAGAGAGAGAGAGAGCUAUACUAUUAAUUAAGCAUAACAUAUCCUUUUGGAUUCUUCAUCCAUUUGCUUUGAGACCAUUCGUUUGAUUAUAUUAUUUGGUGUGCAGGUUGAUUUGUGCGAUAUUUCCAGUAUCUUCUUUUGGAUUGAAAAUCGUCACUACACAAAGAACAGAGAUGGUGUUCUACAGGGAGAGAGAGAACGGGACACGCGAACGUCCACCGCUGUCUCUCAUCCUACCGCAACUUUACCUAGGUGCAGAGACGGACGUUACGCAGGAUUGCCUCGGCGCUCGCGGGAUCUCCUACGUGCUAAGCGUGAGCCGCUGCAGCCCGCAGCCUACUUUCCUUCCCCGUUCCCAGUACCUUCGCAUCCCCAUCGACGACUCUCUCCGAGAUGACCUGCUGCCCCAUAUCCCGGAAGCACUGCGUUUUAUCGGUGAGAAUAAUGAUGAGAUUGGGUUAGUUAUGUGUCAAAUGGAUGUCACCCUAUUCCCCAUAUAGUGCAACUGCACUAUUUUCGACGAGACAGAGAGCUAGUACA